ACGGCACUCCUUGUUUUUGUUUAUUUAGCAGUAGGCACUAGGCAGUAGAUAAACAAAACCCUACUUGUGGCGGAACAAAAAGAAAGAUCUAUGGAACACAACAACAAACAUCCAUCGGAAAAGGCUGAAUUUUUGCCACAGGCUAGUCAUGAAUUUGCAAAGGAACAAGAAGAACUGGAAAUUUAAACAGAUAAAAUCUCCGAACCUAAUUUAGAAAGACCCGAAACUAUUGUCACUGAUGGCGAUGAACCCCCCUUUGACUAUAGUAAGGCGAAACCCUUUCCGGUGAGACUGUAUCCCACUAAGAGAUAUUUAUUCGAGUGACUCCUCCACUGACUCCUCUAGCGUUUUAGACUCUGACUCUGACUCCGGGUCUGAAGUUAUUGCGGGAGAAGAAUCAGAAAUUCAAACUGAGAAAAUACUUCAUGAAACUGCUGACGAGCCCUUUGAUGACAGCAAUGCAAUAGAACCAUUCCCAGUCAGAUUGUAUUACACUAAGAGGCAUUUCUCCGAUGACUCCCCCUCCACUGACUCGUCUUACUUGUCCGACUCUGAUGAAACCAUUGCAGAAGAAAAUCCAAAAUUAACAAAGUGAAUUCCUCUAAAGAUGAGGAGAAACAACUUGAAUUCCCUCUCAAUGCUGCCACUCAAGAGGACCAUACUCCUACUGAUCCAUAGAGGAAAGGCCCAACUUGGACUCUGAUCCUAGUAAUCGUAUCGUUCCUGCUUCAUCUAUUUUGAUGGAAUUUCAAGGUAUUCAGGAAUUCUUAAAGGAAUAUAAGAGAAUACUGAGGGGAUUAAAGAAUGUUUUAUGGGAUUUGGGUUAAUGGCUGCAAGUUGUGUUAUGGGAUUCAAACCUUAGGCCAGAGUCCAGACAUAUAUUCUUGCUGAUCUACUAUAUCUAUUGCACGAGAACUUCACAAUUUGAUAGAGCAAAUUUGUUCUAUGUAUAAUGAUAUUUUUACCCUCUGCACACCUUCGCUUCCAAUCCCUCCCUUCCCUGUGAAAUGCCUUUGCGACCUCCAUGACUUUUUAGCUCCCUUUUCCGCCGAAAUAUUGAUCCUACCCUGGAUUAUGCAUCGUUUCAGUUCUGAUUCCCUCUGCAUCCUUUGAGGCUAGGCUCGAAUAUCUAACUUGGUUGAGUUUAAUCUGGUGCGGCAACAGCAUCCUGCCCUCUGGCCAAGAGACAAUUUGCAGCUUGCUUUUGUGAAAGGAAAAUGAAACAACCUCUAAACAAAAGAGGUAGACCGAGUAUUAUUCUUUGUGGAGGCUGUUCUGAGGCAGUGGAGGCUGGCUAAGCAGCGCAACAAUGCUACAUGUGCAAGAAAAAAUAAUGAAGAAAAUGCUCCACGAAUAAGUGAAUUUGAUUUCAGCCUAUGCGCUUCAUUGGCAUGCAUUUUUCAGGCCACCGCAAAAGAACUUCCACAUUUAUGGAAGCCAAGUAGUGGUUUACCUAUGGCCAAUGAUGUUGCAGGUACCUCCAGAAAUCUUGUCCCUGCAUUACCCUAACAAAGAAUGACUCUUAUAUCAUGUCUGCUUGUGGCGGAAAAGUUUCAUUGUUCAAUAUACUCACCUACAAGGUUAUGGCUACAUUCAUGUCAACUCCACCAGUACCGACCUUCGUAGCAUUUUAUCCUCGAGACUAUAACAUCGUAGCUGUUGGAAUGUAGAAUUUGACAUGUGAUGCCAUGCCUGCUGCACAAUAUAUAGAGUUCUACUUGUGUGUGCACUGCGUGAUUCAGAAGCAGUUAGUUGCAAAGGAAAAAAAAGUUGUUUGCUCCAUUUAAAUAAAUUAUUAUGUGUAGAUGUACAUGCCUAAAUAAUAUAUUCCUGUGAAUUGAGAUAUGUCUUGAGCAAUUGUAAGAGAAUCGAAUACAUGGAUAUAGCAUUACAUAACAGACUAUAACUAGUUUGCAACCAAAUUAUAAUACUUGAGCAAUUUAUUUAAUAUAUGUUUCUUCUCGGGUUUGAGCAGAGAGUUCCAGAAUGGCUCAAUAUACACUAUGAUGUAUGUGUUGAAGGGAUUCUAUACCUCGUUAUAAUGCAUUAUUCAAGUUGAAAUCUUGCCAUAUAUAUUCAUAUUUGAGCUUAAGACGUCAAAUUUAUUGGAAAAAAAAUGUCUAAUUGUACCAUUGACAUCAGUUAUAAGCCGGUGUCUAAAGGCUAUACAUUUAAGAUCAGGCACGAAGACAUCAAUCAAAAUUUACAGACACGUCGGAUUUUAAUCGGUGCCUAAGGCAAAUUGUAGUAGUAGAUACUCAAACGCUCCCACUUAUUCCAAACACCUCCUUUUAAUAAAGUAUUUAGUUAACCAGUUCUAUUUCCUUUAAACGUGGUUGACAUGACUCAUCAAUAAUAAAAUGUCUAAUAGUCUUAUCAUUUGAGAUACUAAGAAUUUUAUUUCUUUGUCAGAUUUAUUGUUUAAGUCCAGCAAACAUUAUUUAAAUUUCUUACUCAAUCCAUUGUGCUGCUCUAUAGUGUAAUUAUCGAGAAGAUUGGUGAUAUGUCUUGAUGAGAAGUUUUGAUUCUUACAAUUCAACAUGGAAUUCUGUGAACUCAGACCAUGGUUGAGAAAGACAGAGUUGUAAGUGUUAAUUAGUCAGUGUGUUAUCAUUUUGCUUUAGAAGCCUGAGUUGAACAUGCCUAGGCUUAUAGUACAAGCGGAGACAAGCGUUCUAAAUUGUCAUAUCUUAAACAGUCUGACUGGUUGUCGUUGUACUAGACUUUCUUUAGAGUAAGAGAUGACAUAUUUUGUGAAAUAAUAUUCUGAUUAGUGGAAGUCUAGCCUUCAU